GUGAGAAGGAGGCGGUGCCGCCGCUGCCGCCGCCGCCACCGCUGCCACCGCCGGGGCUACCCGCAAUGGGAAGCUGCUGGCCGUACUGAGCAUGCGCCACUCCUCGCACAUGCUCAGUCAUUGGAACCCCUUUUCGUCUCCACCCGCCUCUCAGCUACCACUCCCUCCGCCUCCGGGCUUUGGGCGUGAGGUGGUUGGGUCGUGCAGAAUCUGAAGGAAAUCCGCUUCUCCGGGCUUUGGUAGCAACCUGAGGGAGAGUAAAGAAAGUGCUGGAGGAGCUGUCAGCUACAGGCGUUGUUGGACUUCAGGAUCAAAAAAAUGCUACCCCCUGGUCUGAUAGAUGAAGCUCCUGGAUGGUGCAAAUGGUUAAGCACUCAGGUGCUAACUGAAAGGUGAUAUGAUGGCGGCAUAGUGCUUAAGUGCUACAGCUGCGAACCAAAGGAUCGGCAGUUCGAAUCCACCAGGCGCUCCUUGGAAACUCUAUGGGGCAGUUCUACUCUGUCCUGUAGGUCGCUAUGAGUCAGAAUCGACUCGACGGCAGUGGGUGUGUUAUGAUGGUAUUAUGGUUAUGUCUAAAAAGAGAGAUCCUAAUCUUUUAUGGAUACACGGUAAAAUAUUUAUGGACACAGUAAAAUAUUUAUGGAUGAAAUGCUAUUUUGUUUGAUUUGCUUUGAAAUAAUCCAGGGAGAGAGAAAAAAGAAGUAUAAUAGAAACAAGAUUAGGUCAAACAAGAUUGGCCAUGAGAUGACGAUCGUUGAAGCUGAGAAAUGGGUACACGGAGGCUUAUUAUACUAUAUUGUCUAUGUUUGAAAAUACCUCUGACAUUAAAAAAAAUCACAAUAGCUGGGGAGGAGCUAGGAGAUAGGAUACAGAGGUGCAAAUAUGUAGAUUUAAUGAUAUUGGUAGUGUUCUAGAACUUGGGCUUGGUGGCAUGUUUAUAGGUUUUCCUUAUAUAAUGCUUUAUAACAUGUAUUUGUUACAUGCAUUGUUUACUUACCAUCUAAGCCUGCGUUCUCUAGACGAGCAAAACCAAUGAGAUGUAUUUGUGUAUAUAUGUAUGUAUAUACACAUAUAUAAUAUAUACAUAUGUAUUAUAUAUAUGUACAUAUGGAUAUAUACAGAGACAGAGAGAGAUUCACUUCAAGAAAAUGGCUCAUGGAAUUGUAGGGGCUAGCAAAUCCAAAAUCUGCAGGUCAGGUGGCAGGCUGGAGACUUCUGCAGGCUUAUGUCCCAAGAUCUGUAGGUCAGGUGAGUAAAGAGUGCAGCGUUGAGAGAGAAAGAGAGCUCUGCCAGGACAUCCUUUUAAAUUCUGGAGGCAAACCACACUCCCAAGAAAACUCGCCUUUCAACUGAUUGAUCACAUCACAUCACAUCGCAUCGCAUCAUGGAAAGUGAUUACAUUACAUUACAGAAUAGCAACUAGUCCAGUGUCUACCAAACCACUGAGCAUCAUAGCCUAGCCAAGUUUAAACAUAAAAUUAUCCAUCACAUUUAUAUUUAUCAUUUAUUUUUAAAGGGAAUUAAAAAUAUAUAUACAUUUCUGACAACUUUCUAUUUAAAAUUUUCAAAUAUUAAAAAAAAGUUGGGUCUCAACCCACCUGGAUCAAAGGAGAAUGAAGAACAUCAAGGUCACACAAUAACUAAGAGCCCAAGAGACAGAAAGGGCCACAUGAACUAGAGACUUACAUCAUCCUGAGACCAGAAGAACUAGAUGGUGCCCAGCUACAACCGAUGACUGCCCUGACAGGGAACACAACAGAGAACCCCUGAGGGAGCAGGAAAACAGUGGGAUGCAGACCCCAAAUUCUCAUAAAAAGACCAGACUUAAUGGUCUGACUGAGACUAGAAGAAUCCCGGCGGUCAUGGUCCCCAAACCUUCUGUUGGCCCAGGACAGGAGCCAUUCCCGAAGACAACUCAACAGGCAUGAAAGAGACUGGACAGUGGGUAGGAGAGAGAUGCUGAUGAAGAGUGGGCUAAUGAUAUCAGGUGGACACUUGAGACUGUGUUGGCAUCUCCUUUCUGGAGGGGGGAUGGGAGGAUAGAGAGAGUUGGAAGCUGGCAAAAUUGUCUCGAAAGGAGAGACUGGAAGGGCUGACUCAUUAGGGGGAGAGCAAGUGGGAGAACAGAGUAAGGUGUAUGUAAACUUAUAUGUGACAGUCUGACUUGAUUUGUAAACGUUCACUUGAAGCUCAAUAAAAGUUAAUUAAAAAAAAAAAAGUUGGAAGAAUGACACAAAGCCACUCAUAUACCCUCCACUAGAUUCAAUAAUUAUUAACAUGUUGCCACAUUUUAAAAUAUUUCUUAAUCUAUAUGCAUGUAUAAAUUUAUUUUCAUUUGUAGACAUACAUCCGCUUCUAUAUAUUUCAGCAUACAAGUUCUAGGAAUGAUAAUGUUCUGCAUAAUCAACAUAUCAUAACACCCAGAAAACUUAAAAAUAACUUUAUAAUAUAAUUUAAUAUACAGCCCAUAUUCAAAUUCUCCCAAUUGUCUCUAAAUAUCUUUUAUAAAUGUAGAUUUGAAUGAAAUGAUUUUGACAUGUUGAAUUUGAGUGUCUUUUAAUCUAGAACAGUCCUAGACACCAUUUUUACGACACUGAAAUUUUGAAGAGUCUGGGCCAGUUCUCUUAUAGUAUGUCCUGUAUCCUGACUGUUUCUUAUGAUGUCAUUCACUUGUUCCAUUAUUCCCUGAACUUCCUGUGGACUGGAAUGUAGGUCUAGACUUGAUUAAAAUCAGAUUAAACAUAUUUAUCGACAAUACUUCAUUCACAACAUGCUGUGACUUCACAGUAAGAUCAAGUUCAGAUGGUAACUUCCAGAUCUGUACAUUCUAAAGGUGCAUUUUACUCUUUGGAAUUAAUUAAAUAAUCUUAGAGGUGAUAUUUGGGCACUAUGAGAAUAUCCUGUUCUGCA